UUGUACCUCCUUCCUUUUUUUUUAUUCUUCAUCUUCAUCUUCAUCUUCAUCUUCUUCUUCUUCAUCUCUCUUACCAUUUCUACUCGUUUAUCCUUCAAUUCUCUUCUUUAUUUUUCUCUUUUUCUUCAGUGAUCCUCUUCAUUCUGAAGUCUUGGGGGAUUCACUUCAGAUUCUUAUAUAUACACAUACAUAUAUAUAUAUGUAUAUACGUGUGUACAUGAACGUGGACUCUAGAGAGCCUUCAUCGGUGUCUCGUUUCCUCACGUAUUUCUCCGUUUCCUCCUCCUGGGCGUAUAUACUACAUACUUUCUCCUCUCCGACGAGAGGACAGCAAACGAUUCGUUCAAGUGGUAAUGAUAGAUAUUUUGCAUAAUCUAAAAACGAGAUAGGAAUUAAUUUAUUAUUGUAAACGAACGAGAAAACGUUCCAAGUCAGAGUGCCACGUACCACGUUUUGGCUUGUGUUAGUGAGAAAUAAAAAGGAAAAGAAGAACGAAGAGGAGGAAGAGGAGGAGGAGGAGGAGAAGGAGCAAGAAGACGAAAAAAAAAGAAAGGAAAAAAAAAAGGAAUAUCUUUUAAUGGAAUUCUAAUGCGAUUAUAAUGCUUAGUCUUGAACAUUCGCACGCAAGUGCUACUACUAAAGCAUGUUACCACCACUUGUUGUUGUUCAUGUUAUUUCUCGCGUGAUGAUCAAGGUAUCAUAAGGUUCAAUUGAAUUUUUUGAUAAUAGAUCUAAAGAAAAUGCAUAUUUAUAUAGUAACACAAGUGGAACAAAUAUUUUAUACUACUCUGGGUCAAGUUUAUACUACUUUUUAAUUGUACAUAUAUGAAAUUAUUUUGUAACAAACAAAUCAAUGAAUUUACAAAAUUACAAAGGGUAUAGGGAGUGUUAGAAUUGUUUAAUUACACAAUGAGUUCGCGAUUAAAUUUAAAAUGAUUGAAAUUUUUAAUUUGAAUUAUCAAAAAUAUUGCACAGUUGUAAUUAACAAUUGUUACAAACUAAUAAUUCAUAUUUUACAAAAACAACCCCUAUAUCUUUUUAAGUAGUUGUAAAUUUCAUUCCAUUUGAUCGAGUUUGAUGUAACCCGUAACCUUAAAAGGGUCUGCUUAACAUCAUACGAGAAAAUCAGCGAAAGUGUACGACACGACUACGACGACGAUUUCUUUCGAAUUAAACUCGUUCUCACCUUUCCACAUCGACAUUACUGAUGAAUAUGUCAAGAUAUUAGGACGAGUUUGAUUGUCGAAAAGAAAAAAA